ACGGGGGGUGCAAGCGUUGUUCGGAAUUAUUGGGCGUAAAGCGUGCGUAGGCGGUUUGUUAAGUCUGAGGUGAAAUCCCCGGGCUCAACCUGGGAACUGCCUUUGAAACUGGCAGACUUGAGUGCGGGAGAGGGUAGUGGAAUUCCUAGUGUAGGAGUGAAAUCCGUAGAUAUCAGGAGGAACACCGGUGGCGAAGGCGGCUACCUGGACCGAUACUGACGCUGAUACGCGAAAGCGUGGGUAGCGAACAG
rnacentral:rRNA from 1 species